CAGACUUCCUCAGACAGAUCAACUUGUUUUGUGGUCCUGAUGCAACCUUCUUUGUCCACUUAACACAGUUUAAUUGCUAUUACAACAUGUUGCAGGGUGAGGAAUGUGAUCCCUAGUGGAGUCACCUCAGCACUGAUUGCUGCAUGGAUAUCCUUGGAGGCUCUUAGAAGCUUUGAGAGUGUGGAUGAAAUAUAACCACAAUGUACCCUUUGAAGGAGGAGUCUUUCAGCUUUCAAGUAUGUGGACAGUGUCAGCUGUCAGAGGAGAACAACUCUCUCUUUUGUCUUCCCUUCUCAUUAAUCCCUACUUCUUCAACUCAAGCUCUCAAGUGGAUCAUUAUAAACAGACAAUGGCCAGAUAUGUGCGUGUGGAUAUAAACUAAUGAAUUUAUGAAGGGGAAAAUCAUGCCUGACAAAACUGACAGCUGUAUAUGGUAGGUGAGUAAGGGGACUACUAGAUAUCAUUUGGAUUUUAAUGAAUGUUGUUGACUUUAGCAAGG
rnacentral:lncRNA from 1 species